AGAGGCAUUGCAGGGGUGACUGCUGUGCCACCUGUGUGUCAGUAGGAGGCAGGGAGGAGAAAGGCUGAGUCUAUGCUUUUUGUUCUGACCUGUGGACAUCUAAAUGAUUAGUAGCCUAACACU
rnacentral:snoRNA from 1 species